rnacentral:lncRNA from 1 species
UGAAGGAAGACAUUUGAGAUGAGAAGGUACCACAAAGUUUGACACAAAUUCGAAUUAGCAGUAUGUAAAGAGAGUAUUUAAUGCAUUUCCAUAAACAUUUCAAAUUGAAUUAUGUUAUCAAACAAGGAUCAAGGAAUUUGUUUCCAUUAAAUAUAUCUGUAUCCUCUCUAUUUUCCUUCCACUUAUUUUGAAAUGCCUGAGUGCUUUCACAUCUGAGAGCAAAAUUUAACCACCACAGACGUACUGCACUUCAAGAAGAAUUUAGAGUAUUCUGAAAUUAGAAUUGCUCUUUGUGGGCUAGAUAUAUGACCAGUAGUCUUAUUGAUGAUUAUCACUCAGCUUGUCGGAGUUACUGAGGGAGGCCUGCUAUACAAAUGCUCCUUUUGGAACUCUAGGGACGUGAAAGGAAAUUGUCACUACAGUAAAAUGUUGUAUACUUGUCAUGAAACAAGACUAAAUACACAACAUUGCCUUGGUAUUGUUUGGGCCAUUCCAUCCCAAAACCCGAGACACAAAAUUAGAAGUUUUUCUCUGUCUAAAGAAAAAAAUUAUAUACUUCGGUCUAGUCUUUACGGUACUAAUAUGAGACAAAGUCUAGAAAUUGAGGAUUGGGGAAAGUAUGCAGGAUGAUGGCGAUAUAUGAUCGGUUCGUGGUUUAUAGACCUGCAUUUAAUAGUUCUGGCAUAACUGGUGACCAGUGUUUAAGUGGCCACUGAGCCUUACAUUUUUACUUUUUAUUUCUGUGUUAAUAGAGAUUGGCUGGCAGCCUGAAAACCCAGGCCAGCCUAACGUAUACCUGUACUGUGAAUCCCUCCUCCCCACGAGCCAGCUUUCUUUUCUCCAAAUUAUGUCUUGUGUUUUCACUUGCAUAUUAUCAGAUUGAUAGCUACAUUUGCUGAUAUAUCAUGAAAUCCCAUGUAUAUGCAGCAAAGAGUAUGAAGAUAUCUCCAUAAAGGCGAAAUCAAGGUUUAACAUCUCUCUCCGAAGCCUCUCACAACCCAUGUCACUUAAGGAGAUAGCAAGGACUUGGGGUUUUUGUGCUCUUGCUGUUAUUAUAUUUGUGCUCGUGCUGUUAUUUCUGAGUAUGCACAGCAAAGAAGUGGAGGAAGUUUUAGCUCGAAAUAUGGGACUUGGGAGAACUGCUUGACUACAGCAUGAUGAUGCUUCAUAUUUGUUCGUCUCCAAUUAAAACUUUAUGGAUAUUGAAGAAGAUAUUCUUCUAUAUUUAUAUUUAACCUCACUCCUGGAACACUGGACAUGUAAAUAUAGGUUUUGUAACUCUCCUGUAAGUCGUAUGAAUGCGCAGAGACUCAAAUGCGCAGUACAUUUAUAAAUGUUUAUUUUUCUGAUUUGGUUUUUGACUGUUCUGGCGAAGUUAAGAGAAGUUGUAUGUUCUAUUUAGAAAUCUGAACAUAUAAAGCAGAAGUUUUUCACAGUUGAUUUCUAUUCUGUAGUUAAUUCUGGAAUGCAGUGUUCCAAGGGAGCUCAGUUAUGCCUUUUGACAAGGAGUGUAAAUAAAUAGAAUUAAGUGUCUAAAUAGACUUGGACAUCUUCUGGGGGAACGUACAUUUUGGCUCAAGUUCGACUUUAAUUUUUAAAUAAAGGAAUUUUGGAUUGAUUGUUUCAGUUGGGUCGAUUAAACGUUGGUGGUCACUAAAAUUUUGGUGGAAUUUUAUGUUGGUCAUUUGAUUUUAUUUAUUUAUUCUUUAAAUAGUCUGCAGAAGUAGUUAUCAAGUCAUUAGUAGUGAGGUUAAAUUGAAGUAAGACUCGAAUUCAGUUCGUUACCCUAGUAAAACUUUGCUUUUACCGUUAAGCAAGUCUUGACUUGAUCACUUUUACUUAUUGUUGAGAAGUUUGGAUACUUAAAUACAAUUUUAUUCUACUUAUAACAUUCUUAUCGUCAAAAUCAACUUCUAUACAAGCGAAUAGCGUUUUAAGAAAAGAAACGCUAUGUAACAUACUUGGACGCUCUUGAGUGCACAUAAAUUUUAACAAUACUCAAACACAAGUGCAAUCUUUUAAUUUGAAGUCGUCAAGGUAUAUUCUUUUCGGUAGUUUGAUGUAGACAUUGUAAAAUCGACAAGAUUCAAAAGUUGAAAAAUCGUAAUAAGUUGAGGGAUGUCAUUUUCAUAAACUGGAUUUUCUAUACCUAAAAAAAUUGAAAAAAAAGAUCCAUCCAAUUAAUAAAUGUUGACAAACACAGAGGAUGAAGCCAAUAAGAGCAAAUGUUUCUAAAUGCUCCUAUUAGAAGGUUUUAAAUAAAAUAAAAUAAAAUAAAUUAUAGAAAACCUUGAUGACCUUGGAUAUAUAACCAACUACUAAACAUAUGACUAGAUUACGAGGUAUCGAGAUGCUACGUUUUGGAAGGAGACAUUAAAGAAUGAAUAUUUGGCAACAAGAACUUGGAACAUAUCUCAUGAUUUAGCCUCCCUUUGAUUCCCAUUCCUUGGCCACAAAAAUAAAAAAUAUGACCGUUAUCCAUCAUAUCAAGCCACCAUAUUUGACUUUCUAUUUUUUGUGUGGGUACCAUAACGAAUAUAUUUUUCAUUCUCAUUUUUAGAAAAUUGAAAAUCAAACACUCAAGUAAUUUUUUUUCUCCAUAUUCGAAAGAUUAUAAGUAUUAUCAACUUCUUCAUUACUCAUUUUUAUUUAUUUAUAAUUUAAAUUGUUUAUAAAUACUUCCACUCUUCAUAGGAGAGUUCUUGACAGUAGCAUACUCCUUUCAAUUGUCAAAUAGACAAUGAAAUGAUUCUUUUUUGCAGAUUCCAUUCUGAAUUUCACACAAAAUUUGAGUCAAAAUUGCCACAUAGGUUUUGACAUCAACAUGAUACAUGCAACCUUUUUUAAGAAUAUAAAUGCAAACCACAAAUUUAUAAGUAGGCUGGACACUACAUUUAGCUCCUAUUUGAUAGAAAUUAAAAUUAAAAUUUUAACAUAGUUAAAGUCGGUAACUCAUUUUAAUUAUAUAUUUAUGAGAUCUACGAAUUUUCAAGCACACAUUUCAUCGACUUUUAUAAAAAUCUACUAAAAAAAUAUGAUUUUAAUCCCCACAAAAUAAGGACUUAAUGUAGCUAGGCAGGUAGUGCCAUAAGCUAGCAUCAGUGGCAGAAUCAGACAUCUUUCAUUGCAGGAUCAAAAGUGAGUUACGUUUUUUCUGAAAAUCAAACCUUAACUAGCUUGGUUUUGAGGUAUUGCUAUCUUCUCCAUUAGGUUCCAAAGAAAACAUAGAGGACUCAUUCAAACUAUUGAAGGCAAAUGUGUGCCCGCCAAUGACCACAUGUCGGAAAAGUUUAAAAAAAAAUUAAAAGAAAAUCAAAAAAUUCUGUGGGUUAGUGUCCCCACAUGAACCCAUGUGGAUCUGCCACUAGCUAGCACACAUGCCAAAUUUAAGCAUCUCCAGCCCUUGGGGCAUUUUUGGCUAAAUUGGCAUGAAAAUGCUCUUCAAUCUUAGAACAUGUUGUGGUUGAUCGACUAUUUGAAAGAGGGGUCGCCUGACCUCUUUGGAGGUGGUGGGUCGACUGCCUUCUAGCAGGGACCGUUGUUGGGUUCAAUUGGGUUGACGUCCCAUUUCAUUCCUAUGUAAUUUAAACAGGCGUGAUUUCAAAAAUACGCUUGAUGAUCUUUAUUGAUAUUAAAAUAUGGCGUAUCAAACAAAAAUUAUGAUGUGUUGUAUCAAAUUAUACUAAUAUAAAUGUCCUAACAAGCACUAAGCCCUUUUGUUUAAGCCACAGUAUUUUCAUAAGAAUGUAUUUUUGAAUAGUGUAUUGAUGGGAAAUAUCUGGUUAAAAUAUAAAGGAAAAUUUUGAAUUUGCGUGUAAUAUUAUUUUAUUGAAGAAUGUAUAGUUAAAAUAAUGUCAAAUUACUAUUUAAGAAUAUAUAUAGUUUUUGAAAGAAGGUGGAUCAAAUAGGACUUUGUGUUAAAUACUUGAUUUAAUGUCAUGAUACAAUGUUGCAAACCUUAAACAUGCAAUAAUAAAUACAGAGUUGUAUUAAUGAACAACUAUUUUUUGCAUAGUUGUACGAGUAUGACAUUAAUUUACAACAAAAAAAUUUCAAUUUAAAAAUUAAAAUAAGUGUAGAAUGAUUUAAUAUUCAAUAACCAAUAAAGUAUUUCUUUGGUUUAAUCAAUUUAUUUUUUUAAUCAGAAUUUUUUUGAAUAUAAAAUUAAAUUCCAGCAAUUUGGUUUAAAUCUUUAUAUGUUUAUUGUACAGAUUGCGAAGAUGGGUACACAGAAAGUAGUAUUGAUAUCAACAUCCAUAGAUAUAAGUUGGAUUGCGGUGGUAAUGGAAGGAUUGUCCCUAUAAAGGAAACGCAUGAAAAUGUUAUAGAAAUAGAAAGAAGAGAAUUGUAAGAGGAGAAUAAGUGCUCAAUGUAAUUGAUGUACCCAAAAUCAUAUCCAUAGGAUCCCAUUUAUAGAUGUCGAAGGGUGCAGAUGAAGUAGUGUGGGCCAAAAUAUGCAUCAUUUCGAGAAGUUGUAACACUUGGUCAAAACCUACAUCCUUUCGAAAAGUUACAACACUUCAUUUCUUCCAAUUUUGGACCACAGUUUCUCAUUUAUCCAGAAUUGAUUUUAAAAUUUCAAAUAUACCACGACGAUCUACUCGACGAGUAGAAUAAGUUAGUCUAUUUACUUUUGUAAUUUGACCAUUGGAGCAAGUAUGAUAUUUGGUUGAAAUUGACACGAACUCACACAUUUUCAUUUUCCACUUUUACACUUAUCCAAUUUUGGAUUUUUUUUUGAACCAAUUCCAACACUGUGUUGCACUAGAAAUUAUCAAUAGAUUGAUUGUAUAAUUGUGUUAGCAUUUAUGUUACGAUACAUUUAGUUGCAUAUGGCAUGUUUGUUAGGAUAGAAUAGAUCUUAUUGAACACUAUACUAAAAAGGGAGAAGUUAAAGUCACUUUAAUCGUUCCGCAUUGAAAUAAUAUGCGCCCAACAUCUACAUAAUUAAUUAUUUGGGGAAAUUCGAGUUGGGGCUUGAACCUUCAAUAUGUGCCUAUGAAAAAGUGUGUGAUCGAAAGGAUAUUGAAGGAAAAGGGUUAAUUUGACUAUUAAAAAGGAAGUCGUUAUUUCCAUCAAAAGGUAAAACAUUUUACUACGUAUACCAAGACUUUUAGCCCCGAGUUUCAUUUUUCUCAAUUUUUUUGUUCUUCAACCUUUGUAAAUUGGAUUAGUUUCUUAUAGCAUAUUUAAUUGUGUUUUUUUGUUAAAUAUUUUAGGUAAAGAUGAAUGUAGAGGUGGAAGCUGGUCCAUCCCGAAAGGCAGCCGCUGUUAGAGGCGCCAAAAAGUUGGGGGCUACAUGGAUUAUACUUGACAGGUUAAGAAACAACACACAACUUUAUAGCAUUUCAUAAUCUUGAUCAAUUUUCAGCAAUAAUAUAUCAUUUGUAACGGUGCUUAAAAGUUACUUUUUUUUUUUCAAGAAGUUUAAGAAAGGAAAUCACGUUUCUCAAAAUUAGCAACUUGAAAAUGAGUUUACUUACUUUUAAACACAUUGAAAAGACCCUAUUCUGAAAACGGAGAUACCCAUAUUAAUAGCAAGUCCGAUCUACAAAAUGAGAUUUAAGAUAGAAAAGCAUACGCAUUACAAAGAUGUCCUCUAUUGACUUACAUUGCAUCAAGAAAGAUAUUUAAAACUUGGUGAAGUAUAUAUAUAUUUUACAAUUUUGGGGUUGAGUUAAAGGAUUUUAUUUAAGGCUUAUUUGACACAACUUUUGCUUUUACUUUCUAUAGAAGAGCUCUUGGAGGAAACCAACUUAAUUUUUAUUUGGAAACUAAUUUUUAAAAUAGCAAUGUUUAAUUGGUAAAAACAUUGUUACAUGUACACUAUGGUGUACACUUUAGUUUACCCUUUGUCACGUGAUAUUACCCUAUUGGACAGUUUAAAUUUAAAAGAGUUUUCCCUUCCAAUUGACACAUGACUACAAUGCAAGUGUCAAACAACGUGUCAAAAAUUAGUAUACAAAUAGCGAAGUUCAAUCGGUGAGAACCUUGCGACAAGUACACUAUGGUUUAUACUUUAGUUUAUACUUUGCCACGUGUCAUUGUCCUGUUGAACAGUUUAAAUUUCAAACAGUUUUCCCACCCAAUUGACACUUGACAAAAAUGCAAGUGUCAAAAAAUGUAUCAAAAGUCCAUGUAAAAUAGCAAAGUUCAAUGGGUAAGAAUCUUGCGACAUGAACCUUAUGGUGUACACUUUAGUUUACACUUUGCCACGUGACAUUAUCCUGUUGGACAGUUUAAAUUUCAAACCAUUUUUCCAUCCCAUUGACACUUGACAAUAAUACAAGUGUCAAACAACGUGUCAAAACUCAGUGUACAAAUAGCGAAGUUUAAUUGGUAAUUGCUACAUGUACACUACGGUGUACACUUUAGUUUAUACUUUACCACAUGACGUUAUCCUGUUGGACAGUUCGAAUUUCAAACAUUUUUCCUAUCCAAUUGACACUUGACAAAAACGUAAGUGUCAAACAACGUGUCAAAAAUCAGUGUACAAAUAGUGAAGUUCAAUCGGUAGGAACCUUGCUACAUGUACACGAUGGUGUACACAUUUUAGUUUACACUUUGCCAUGUGACAUCAUCCUAUUGGAUAGUUUAAAUUUAAAACAGUUUUUCCAUCUAAUUGACACUUGACAAAAAUGGAAGUGUCAAACAAUGUGUCAAAAAUAAGUGUACAAAUAGCGAAGUUCAAUUGGUAGGAACCUUGCGACAAGCUCUUUUAACUACGAGAAAUACUUUCACAAAAUUAGUCAAACUGGUCCAAAAGCCAUGCCAAAAGGACCCCAAGUGUCCCAUUUCAUUAGUAAGUCUCUUUAAAGUAUUCAUUAAAAUCAUACUCAUAGAUGAAAUAUUUUGCAAAAGAGUUACUUUCCUCGUGAGGAAAUAUGGGUAAAAGAUUUGUCUUACAUUGCAGGGAGUUGAAGAAAGACAAGCAAUACUUUAUGGACAGGCUCUUGUGUGGCAUAUCGAGUAUGAAGAGUAACAACACCGUUGUAGAGGUCAGAGGUCCAAUUCGAAAACAUGUUUCAUAUGAUGAAAUGAUACCAUCAUACUCGUGGGAAGAACUUUCUCCUUCACAACAGAGCAAGUAUGUUUAUCCAGAGGUCCAAUUCGAGAACAUGGAUCAUUUGAUGAAAAUAUACCAUCAUACUCGAGGGAUAAAUAUUCGAGUAAGUAACUUCAUUUUUACCACUAGUCUUCAAUGGGCAUUUCUGUUUCUUUGUUUUUCGACAUAGCUGAAUUUUUUUAACUGAAAUAUGGUAUGCUAUGCUACAAGUGAAUAUUUGCGACAAGAAUUAAAUCAUAAUUUUAGGACGACUGAUUCACUUGUACUGAACUGACACAACUUCUACUUGUCUGCACAUAUAUGCAUUUUCCAAGUCUCCAAGCAUCCUCCUUCAUCGUCUUUCGUCCACGAUGCCUUUCCCUUUGAAGGAGAAAGGAGAGAGAAUGAUUACUAUUUACAUCCACGUAUUAAUACAUGGUAUUGUAGAAUCUCCAGCAACUCAAAAGGCUAGCUCAUUCAAAGAACAAGCUCAUAACAGAUGCAGUAGGCACUUUCUUGAUAAUUCCAAAGUAUUAGCCUCGACUGCUGGUAUUAUAGAGACAAGACAGUCUGCAGUGGAUAUUCAGGAGAGAGAGAGAACAUUAUGACGACCAAACAAGUAGCUGAAGAAAACUCUAAUAGUCGUACACUCAAAUAUAAGGGCCAAAAUGAAGUACGUAGUAUAAAAUAUAUUAAACGAGAGCAAAAGAAACAGAACAAUGGGGAAGGUAAUGAAACUAAGACAAACAAGAGAGGAAUUUGAAAGUACUUGUUCAGUUUGUAGAAACAAGCGACCUAAGCUUGCUAUGCAAAGGGACUUCACUUUUGAAGAGCUUUAUGACGCUACAGGGGGGUUCUCAGAUGAAAAUUUCAUAUCAGAAGGGGGAUUUGGUUUUGUAUUUAAAGGAGUGUUGGAAAAUGGACUAAAAAUAGCUGUUAAGCAGCACAAAGCUGCCAGUCUUCAAGGAGAGAGAGAAUUCAAAUCUGAAGUUCAUGUACUUAGCCAUGCAAGACAUCAAAAUUUAGUCAUGCUACUGGGCUCUUGUUCAAAAGGAAGCCAGAGGUUACUUGUUUCUGAAUAUGUCUGCAAUGGCUCACUGGAAGAACUCUUGUCAGGUAAAAAGUGUUUUAACUGCUACUGUUUCUGUUCUCUUUUUGCACACAACAGAUUUUUCAGGAGGCUCCACUAUAGUUUACAGGAAAAAUGCUCUAAUUUGAACCAGAAAAUCAGAACUUUUAGGAUUAUAUUUAUCCAAUGUACAGGUAACAGUAAGAGGCCUCUCAACUGGGAAAAGAGAAUAAAAAUAGCACUGGGAGCUGCCAAAGGCUUAGAGUGUCUGCACGCCCGCAACAUCGUCCACAGAGAUAUGAGACCAAGCAACAUUCUCAUUACGCAUGACCAUGAGUCACGGGUACGAUUUGGAGUUCAGUAAAAAUUUACAUUUCAAUCAAUUCAAGGGAAACCGAUCCUGUCAAGUUCUGAUGGUUCUGCUCUAGUAACAUGAAUUGAAAUUCCCGGUGGUUUGCUCUGGAGAUAUAUAGCCCGUUGUGCUAAAAUUCCAAAUAACAUUAUUAAUCUUCUAUAAUUCGGAACAGGAUGCAUAAAUUGUGGGUUAACCAUGCCGGGAUAAUGUCGAUUAUUUUCAUACUCACUAUAAAACAAUCCUUUUCAUCCAAAUAGUGAAUUUUUCUUUAACAGCUGGGAGAUUUUGGUCUUGCAAAAGCACAAGAAGAUGAUUCUGUUACCUCAUAUAGUGGCAUGGUUGGCACUCUUGGGUACAUGGCACAGGAAUAUGCAGAACAUGGAAAAAUGUCGACAAAGACAGAUGUCUAUUCAUUUGGAAUGGUUAUGUUGCAGCUUAUCACUGGACUAAGGACAACGGAUAAGAUUCCUGAGGGGAAAAGUCUCGUUGGAUGGGUACAUCUUUUUCAUGGAAUUAAUUUUUCUGUUACUUUAUAGAAAUGUUGGAUAAUUCUUAUAAGCUAGGGAUUAUAACCUUUUAAAAUUCUCAUUUGAGAUUAUACUUCUGACAGGCAAAACCACUUCUGGAAUCAAAAAACUAUCCAGACCUCAUUGAUAAAAGAAUUGCAAACUCCCAUGACGUCCACCAACUUCUCUGGAUGGUGCGAGUUGCUGAAUCUUGUCUGAAAAAGGAUCCAAAUGUAAGGUGUACAAUGGAACAGGUAUGUUAAUCAAUUUUUAAACAUUUCUACUGGAAUAUCAUAAACACUUCAUCCAAGGCGCAAAAUUCUGAAGAUCAAGUGCUACUCCAGUUUCAUAAAAUAUAAUACGCCUUUUAUCUAUUUCAUUUUGAUGAAAGUAUCACAAAUUCACCUCCAUUGACUUGUCAUUGCCUCCAACAAUGUUAUACAACGUACUGCUGUUUGGAAGCCAAACCGUUUAUUCACAUUCCAUCAGAACUAUAGUUCUCCAUAAAAAACAAUAAUACUCGAAUAAAAUUGAUAAAGUUUGUGGGAGUAAAGAGUUUAGGAGUCUUCUUGAAAGUAAAACUCCCAUAACUACUGUCUGGUCUAUAUCCAUGCUAAAUUACUUUACAUGAUCAUUUCUAUUCAAUGUCAUCAGUUCUAACUGAUUCUUGAAUUGUAUAUAUACUAAAGAUUUAUAGGAGUUAGAUAAUCAGCAAAAUUAUUGAUGAUGCUUACAAUCAAUCAAUUCCGAUUACCUGACCUGUAUUAAUAACAUUGACAACUUGGAUCAUGUCUUUGUUAAUGUUUAGGCCGAUGAUUGAAGAAUAAAAGAAAAAAAGAUGGUCUCUUCUUGUAUUUGUUCUUGGGAAGACGAGUGCAAAUUGGAGCAAAUAAAAGUGAUAGGUUUGUCUGAAGUUCUGAUAAUAUUUGAAAGAUCAUAAAUUUGAGAUUAAUCUAGGAUUGGUGAUUGAAUCAGCUAUGUUCUCAUUUCUUUUACCCUUUUUUUUCCCUUCUAGAGUGAAGGUUCUAAAAAUGGUCCCAGUUUCAUCUACCCCUGCCCUUUUCUUGAUAAGAAAGAAAAUUCGACAUUAGAUCUCCUCUACUAGUACUUACCUCAGUCAUUAACCCAUCUCGUCCUUCAUUCCCUUCAUGUUUUGUCCACUAACUCCAUCAUUAUGAAUGUUAAUUCAAAUAAGUUAGAUUCAAAAGAACCAGAUGAAUCCACAAAAAAUCUAUAUGCUGCCUACACCUCUACAUAUAUGAGAUUCUAUGUAAGAAAAUUUUGGCUCUUUUUCUAUCUAUUGCAAAAAUUUCCGUUCUAAGUAAAUCGCAAUGCUCAAGUUGGCUUACAAAGUUGAUCACGCUACGAUUGAAUCCUCAAAUAUUAUCGGUCUGUGAUGUAAUGAGCUAGAUUUUUCUGAUAUAAACUCUGUAAUAAAUGAGACAUGAGGUUUAUCAAAGACACAGGACUACGCUAGUUGGUAGUGCCUGGCUGGUCCGACUUUUUAAUAAAUCUUAAUGAUAAUAAAUUGGCAUAUCUGAAGAACUCGUUUGAGAGGCAAAACUUGUUUUGAUAUCCAGUGAGAUUAUCGGAAACAUGGUGAAGUGAUUGUUAAACUUUGUGUGUUUUUUUUUUUCUUUUUUUUUUUAAUACUAAUAUGAAGUGAGCUUGGUGAAGACCCUGGGGCUGUAGCCUUAAAAUCUAUUAUGACAGGGACAAACUGACAUUUACAUCCUUAUUCGACGCUCUUCCUAUUAGCUGUAUGAUGUCAUCUGAACAUUAAGAUAUAAUUUUGAAAGGAGUGUAAUGAAAUAUUUAACCAAUGAAAAUUUGUAGUUCAUUGAUUAUUAAGGUGAAGAAGAAUGGAACUUAUGAAAAAACAUACAUGGUAGAACUAUAGCUGUAGAAUAAGAUCCUAACAGAAAUGCAUAUAUUGUCUCGUAUAGUUGGGGAUUAUGUUACAUCCCAAAGUUCCUAUAAGAAUAGGAAACGUUCUUGUUGACGAUACAAAUUGAAUGAAACGAUUUUAUCAAUGAAAUAAUUACAAUCGAAUAUCAAUGCAAAUACAAUCAACAAAUCCUCUCAUCUAAUUAUGAGUUUCACCUCCUAAAUUCACUAGUCUAUAUGAUUCAACUAGAGCAAGAGGAAAAAUGGCCAUGUGAGAGAGAAAUAUUUGAAUUGCAUGCCCUCUUCUUCAAAUGAGGGAAGUAUUUAUCGAUUUCCUUUAAAGCUUUGUCGUAGUUUAGUCAUUCCUACUUUGUGCCAGGUGAUGGCUCCUUGUUGACUAUCUUCUAACUGAUUUGGUUAUGAAUCACACUUUAUCCAUUUGCCCCAUGCGCUCUUUAUAAAGAGCCUGAAGCCAGCUUGUUUAUGGUAUAUGGUUUUUUGCUUUAUGUGAACCUUCUGUUUCUUUCUUCCCUUCACGCCUUGCCUUUCAUCCCGCUAAGGACUUGAUGGGUUCACGUACUUUAUUUCGAGGGUUAAUAGUUUUAGUACAAGAAAAAUCUUGGUAGAAAGUCGACGGUAAUCCCCGCAGCAUGGCACAGUGGUGAAGCAGAAGGAUUCUCCACGGAGCAUCGUAGGUUCGAAUCCGCACGGUAGCUGGAAAGCAACAUUUAUGUUAGAAGGCAAAUUUCUUGUGGAGGCAAAGGUAUGUGCGCUCUGUCGUCCCUCUAGAGGUCUGUCCACACGUCGCAAAGGGAGGUCUACAUGGAGGAGAGCUGCAUCCCGAAUGUCCGGCCCAAGGUGUCGAAGCUGGGACCGCAUCUUAAUUUAUCCGGGUGGCGAAUUAGGGGAGAGGCCGCCACUCAAGAUUAGUCGGGCGAAUCUCGGACAUCCGAGUCACUAAAGGAAAAGAAAAGAACAGUUGACGGUAAUCCUACAAAUAUUCCCAGUAAACCGUUAGAUUCAAGGAUUGAUAUGAUUACAGAAUCCUCAUGGUUUCUCAUGAAUAAAAAAUGACAUAACUUAUCAAAUUAACAUUUCCAUCACUAUAAGCAUCAAAUGGUAUAUGUUCCUGAACAUCUUGACAGAACAUGGUGGGAGCAAUGACUAUAUACUGCUAGUUUGACCUUUAAAAUUAAUUGCCAGUUAAAUAAUUUAUAUUCUUUCUAUGUUUACACAGGUAGUUCAUGAUUUGAGCUGCAUAGGUGAAGACAACACAAACUUUAUUCGACACUUCUUUCCAACAGACAUGGAUUCCGACUCUGAGAUUAGUAUAAUUGACUCCCAUGUACCAGAGGAUGAAUCAAAAUAAAAUGAAUACAACUUGAAAAGUGUUCGUUUCAGUUGAACAGUCUGCCAAAAUCUGCUUCAAGAGAUAAUGGGUUCUUGUGGCAAGGGAAAAAGCUUCACAUUUUUCUAAUUUGUAUUCAAGCUUUCAACACACUGGUUUAUUUUCUUUCCUUUUUUGAGUAUUGACUGUGUUGGUUCUGUAAUGAGAAGGUUGGAUUUUAUUGUCAUUUAUUUAUUUUUCUAAUUUAGUGUUGUAAAUUGUGUAUAUAAAAACUUGAUUUUCACAUAUUAAUGCUAACUUAUAAUCUUGCAAUUGCUAAAACUAUUGAAUAAUAAAUUUUGAGAAGAUGGUGAUCGAAUAGGUAGAAGGUCGAAUUUUCAGUGCAUAUCAUUCUUCUAGAAGGGAUAAUCCUUGUGAGGAUUUAUGAUCUUGUGUUAUUACUUAAUUCUUUAUCUCGAGAUUAUUUCUAAUAAUUUUUUUUGUUGUUGGAAGAAUUUCACUAUUUUUGUGGGACUCCAAGAAGAAAUAGGAUAUGAUUUCACAAAGUAUUUUGGAAAAGAGUAAUGCUAUUCGUAGUCGCUCACUGCGAUAGUCGUCCUACGUGGCAUACACAUGAUAGAUGAUUAUUUGAUGUAUUAAUGUGGUAGUUUUUUUAUUCAUUAAUGUGUCAAAUAACCACUUGCCAUGUGUAUGCCCCGUAGGGCGACUGCCGCAGUGAGCGACUACAAAUAGCAUUAUUCUUUGGAAAAUAAUAGCAUAAAAGCAAAUAAGUAAACAUGGGAGAUUUGAAACUUAAAACUUUUGAGAAAGUUUGUCAAUAACCAAGUAACAUUUUUUUUAAUGGUUUACAAAACAAGUUAAAAGCAAAUUUGACUUACUUUUAAUACCUCCAAAAUAAUUAUUGCUUUCCUCACCUGUCAUUAUAUUUUUCAUUGGGUUUUCGAUUUUGACUGCAAUCCGAUGGUAUAAGUUGCUCAAUAUUUGGAAGAUUUUUUCAUUUUUAAACAGCAAAAGCUAGUUCGUACAUUCAUUUUUUCAUUUAUUUAUAUUUUUUUAAAAUCUUGGAAUCCUUGCUUUGUGGAGUUCUUUACAAGUAAUUUUCGACAAUCUUAUUUUAAACGAAUUGUACUUCAAAUUAUCACAAUUAACUCACACGAGACCUUCAAUCAAGUCAAUCUUAAAUGAAAAAAAGAUAAAGAUAAAACUAAUCAAGCACACAAAAAAUUUAGAAAUUAUUAUCAUGCUUCUAAGCUGAAUCAAUUCAUUUCAAAAUAAAAUAAAAUAGAAAUUUUACGUCGCAAUCUUGUCUAGGGGUUAAAUGCACCAGCAACAAUGAACAUUGUAUUUCCCAAGAUAUUUUUAAUUGGUCAUUGAACUUUAAAAUGUUUGGAGCAACCACUGAAUUCAUCAAUAAUUUUGUUUUCAACCGUUAAAAAUUAGACAAAAUGACGAGGGAAUAUGAUAUGACUCAGGAGUCGAGCCCGAUGAGGGUAAGUGCGAGACGAGACCCGUUGAUAGUCGAUGGCGGACCAAUGACGCGAUCAAGGGCAAAGCAAGUGAAACAAGCAAUAGGAUUGCUCGUUCAAGAAACCAUUGAUGGAACCAUGUUCGGGACUCAAAAUGGAGCAACUUUCAUGUUCGGGUCGAAAGUCGAAUCAUUUUGGAUCAAUUUAAUAUCGAAGGCCGAAGACAGAAAAAAAUGAUAAGCCUAUGCGACCGCAUAGGCUUAUGAGGCUUGCGGUCGCAGGGAGGCUUACCGAAACUCAAAGGGGGAAACUUACUUGAACUAUGGGACCGCAUAGAAAUGAACGUCGCGGUCGCAUAGGCCAAAAAUAUUGGCGAGUUUUCUAAUUUUGAUAAUUUUUCAUAUUUUGUUAGUUUUUUAUUCUUUUCCAUAUUUUAGGGAUUAUGAUCGACUUUUGCACGAUUUUUACCUAGUUUUUAGGUUUAGUAUAAAUAGGAGUUUUCAUUCAAUUGCAAAAACCUUUGACAUAUUUGAUAUUGAAUUAAAAGUGAGGCGUAUUGUCUUCUCUUCAUCGUUCUUCAUUGAACAACUUCGAACUUAUCAAGUGUUAACUUGUGGCGUUCAAACAAUCAGAUUUAAUUCUUGGAUUACGUGAUUAAGGGGUCUUUCAAGUGUCGCUCUUGUUGAGUUUUUUGGUUCUACUUUCUUUGUGGUUAAUCCUAAACUCUUGCAUUAAUUUGGCUUUCUUGAGUUCGUCAAUCUUGUUGUGGGUUUCGUAGUCAACGUUGCUACGGGGUUCGCAUCAGUUGGUAUCAAAGUUUUUGCUCCAAAUUAAUCGAAGGUUAUAUCUUUUUUUUUAUUUGUCUGAGUCGUUAAUUUUGGUUUUUUUAGUUUCUUCUUCAAUUUUAAUUGUUCUUUCUUAGUUCCUCUUCGUUCUUGUUUUUCUUUUCGUCGUUGAGUUGAGUUGUUGGUAGUUUAAUCAUCUUCUUUCAUCGAGGAGUAAAAAAAAAAAGAGUUACUGUACAUUCAAGGUACUGUUCAUCUCGAAGUACUGUUCACAAACAAAAAAAAUUGAUAUUACUAUUGUUUAAUUUUGUUUUUCUACCAACAACAAUUCUUACAUUGUGUUUGACUUUGGGAUAUUCAAUUAGGUUCGAUUCUUUCAAUCUUCUAUUGAGUCUAUUCACAUAUUUUUGUCAAAACAUUCAUCUAUUCCACUUAUUCAAGUCCUUUGUGUCUCGUGGUCUUCGAUUAAUAUUCGGUUUGUUUGAAUUCCCGGUAAAAUAAUUGAUUUAGUUCACUUGGUUCUUUGAAGUGCUUGGAGGGCGACUUUGAGUGGUAAAAGGCCGAGUGGUGAGUUUAAUAGAGGAAAAAAGCCAUAAUGAGUGUUUUCCGAGUGAGAUCUUUGUCAGGUAUAAAAAAAUUUUGUGAUAUGAUGUCGGAAAGAGAAGGUUCUAAUUCAAGCCGAAAUGGUAAUGAGAACAAUGCAUCGGAUGACAUGAUAAGGAGGUUUGAAAGGAUACUUGGUGAUGUUAAGGAGAAGGUGGAUAGGCAAGGGGAAUGGAUGGCGCAAAUAGGUACUACAAUUGCUAAUUUUAGCUAGGGGCAAGUAGAGAUGUCUAAUGCUAGGGGGUCGGGUAGGCGUGAAUCUAGGAGAGGAAGGCGAGAUGAGUAUCGUAGUGAUGAGGAUGAUUUUGAUGAAAAUGACUUUGAUAUGAGUCGAGCGAGGCAUAGAGGCGAUAGGAUGGAAAGAUGGGGUAGAAAUAACUUGGGAGAUGAAGUAGAUGGAAAUUUGGGGAGUAUUAAAAUGACUAUUCCGCAAUUUAAGGGGAGAAGCGAUCCGGAAGCAUAUUUAGAGUGGGAUAGGAGUUGAGAUGAUUUUUGAGUGCUAUAAUUAUUCGGAGGAGAAACAUGUAAAAUUGGCGGUGCUUGAAUUUGUGGAUUACGCGAUAUCUUGGUGGGAUCAAGUACUUACAUCACGGCGUAGGGGUCGGGAAAGAUCAAUUAUCACUUGGGAUGAAUUGAAGGUGUUGAUGAGAAGGAGGUUUGUUACGAGUCACUAUUAUAGGGAAAUCCAUCAAAAAUUGCAAACUUUGUACCAAGGAUCGAAAAGCGUAGAAGAUUAUCACAAAGAGAUGGAGAUUCUUAUGAUUCGGGCUAAUGUGGAGGAAGAUCGAGAAGCUACCAUGACACGGUUCUUGAAUGGGUUAAAUCGGGAUAUUCCAAACAUUGUAGAGUUGCAACACUAUGUGGAAAUCAAGGACAUAUUACAUGUGGCAAUGAAGGUCGAGAGGCAAUUGAAGAGGAAGGGGACAUCUAGGGAACCGUUAGGUACUUCGACUCCUAAUCCAACAUGGAAAUCGAAGUGGGAUGACAACAACAAAAACGGGGCUGCACUUAGAGGCAAAAAUGAUUGGCAAAAGGGUAAGGAUGAAAAUGCUAGCAAACCAAUAUCAAAAUCGGAGGCACAACCGUCGCGCAAUCGGGACAUCAAAUGUUUUAGGUAUUUGGGAACGGGGCAUAUUAUUUCUCAGUGCCCAAACAAACGGGCAAUGGUGUUGCGGGAUAAUGGAGAGAUUGUGAGCGAUAGUGAUGGCGAAUUUGAUGACAUGUCGGCAUUGGAGGAUGUUAAUAAAGAAGAAAAAGUUGAAGGGCCGGUUCGGGAUCUUCUAGUCACAAGGCGAGCUCUCACUACUCACGUCAAAGCGGAUGACUUGGAGUUGCAACGGGAGAACAUUUUCCACACUCCAUACCACGUUAACAAUACGGUAUGUAGUGUUAUAAUUGAUGGUGGUUGUUGCACUAAUGUAGCUAGUGUAUCUCUUGUAGAAAAAAAGGGUUUAACAUUGUUGAAACACCCUUGACCUUAUAAAUUGCAAUGGUUGAAUGAGAGUUGCGAGCUGAGGGUGAAUCGAAGGGUGUUACUUAAUCUGUCGAUUGAGAGUUAUAAGGACGAGUUACUGUGUGAUGUGGUGCCAAUGCAAGCGCGACAUAUUUUAUUAGGAUGACCAUGGUAAUACGAUAGGAAGGCUAUGCAUGAUGGGUACAAAAAUCGAUAUAAUUUCAUUAAGGAUGGAAGGACCAUUACUCUUGUGUCAUUAACACCGACGUAAGUCUAUGAGGACCAGUUAAAAUUGAGAAGUGAGGAAGAGAGGAGAGCAAAAGAGUUUGAAAAAAAGAGAGCAAAUAGUGAGUUGGAGAAAAGAGAGAAAAUGUUGAGAUAGCCAUUAGAGAGAAAAAGAGAGAGCAAUCACAAGAGAGAAAAUAAAGAGAGUGCCCCGAGAGAAGAGAGAAAACACGAGCGAAUUUCUUUGCAAAGAAGAGUGAUUUGAGGAGGGCGGUAGUUGAGAGAAAAGAGAUGAUCUUUUUCAUUUAUAAGGAAUCACUCCUUAAUUUUGAGGAAACUAACCCACCCCUCUCUAGUUUGGCUAAGUAUUUGUUGUAGGAAUUCGACUAUGUAUUUUCGGAGGAUGCACCAAGUGAAUUGCCUCCUAUUCGAGGCAUUGAAUAUCAAAUUGACUUCAUACCCGCAGCUGUCAUUCCAAAUCGACCGGCUUAUCGAAGUAAUCCUGAGAAGACUAAAGAGCUUCAAAGGCAAGUGGAGGAAUUAAUGAGCAAAUGAUACGUGAGGGAAAGCAUGAGUCCUUGUGCGGUACCUAUUUUGUUUGUGCCAAAAAAGGAUGGAACAUGGCGAAUGUGCGUGCAUUGUAGGGCUAUCAACAACAUAGCGGUAAAGUAUCAUCACCCUAUAUCUAGGUUAGAUGACAUGCUUGAUGAAUUGCAUGGUGCUUGCAUAUUUUCUAAAAUUGAUUUAAAAAAUGGGUAUCAUCAAAUUCGUAUGCGGAAGGGUGAUGAAUGGAAAACAGCUUUUAAAACUAAAUAUGGUUUAUAUGAAUGACUGGUUAUGCCGUUUGGACUCACAAAUGCACCUAGCACUUUUAUGCGCUUAAUGAAUUAUGUUUUAAUAGCCUUUAUAGGAAAAUUUGUUGUAGUUUAUUUUGACGACAUCUUAAUCUAUAGCAAAGACCUAGGAGAGCAUUUGGAACAUUUAAAAUAUGUACUAAUUGUUUAAAAGAAAGAACAACUCUAUGCUAAUAUUAAGAAAUGCACGUUUUGUAUGGAUAGAGUUAUAUUUCUUGCUUUUGUGGUUAGUGCUAAUGAGGUAGAAGUAGACGAUGAAAAGAUAAAAGCUAUUAGAGAUUGGCCGACACCUAAAAGCGUAACGAAAGUUAGGAGUUUUCAUGGUUUGGCUAGUUUUUAUAGGCGAUUUAUGAAAUAUUUUAGCACUAUCACCACACCACUCAUGGAAGUAGCUAAAAAGAGUGUAGGUUUUUAUUGGGGUGAUGAACAGGAACUUGCAUUUAAUACUAUUAAAGGUAGAUUGUGUGAAGCACCUGUUUUGACAUUAUCUAACUUUGAUAAAACAUUCGAGAUUGAGUGUGAUGCAAUCAGGAAUAGGGAUUGGAGCAGUUUUAAUGCAGGAUUGAAGGCCUAUUGCAUACUUUAGCGAGAAUUUGAGUGGAGUUGCUUUAAAUUAUCCUACAUAUGACAAAGAACUUUAUGCACUUGUUCGAGCUUUGGAGACUUGACAACAAUAUCUAUGGCCGAAGGAGUUCGUAAUACACACCGAUCAUUAGUUACUAAAGCACCUGCGGGGACAAGGUAAAUUGAACAAGAGGCAUGCCCGGUGGAUGGAAUUCAUUGAGACCUUUCCAUAUGUCAUUCGGUAUAAACAAGGUAAGGAAAAUAUGGUGGCGGAUGCGUUGUCGCGUAGGUACGUAUUGCUAACUACUCUUGAUUCUAAGCUACUUGGGUUUGAACAUAUUAAAGAAUUGUAUGAAAAAGAUGUCGAUUUUUGGAUAUUUAUUUGUCAUGCAUAAAAGGGGCGGUUGAUAGGUUCUUUAGGUAUGGGGGAUAUUUAUUUCGGGAAAAUAGGUUAUGUGUUCCUAAUUGUUCUAUUCGGGAGUUGUUAGUAAAGGAGGCACAUAGUGGUAGAUUGAUGGGACACGUUGGGGUUGAAAAGACUUUAGAUGUAUUGAAGGAGCAUUUUUAUUGGCCUAAGAUGAAAAGUGAUGUUGAACGAAUUUGUAGUCGAUGCAUAGGUUGUGAAAAGGCUAAAUCUAAGGUUUUACCACAAGGUUUGUACACACCUUUACCUACACCUAGUGAGCCUUGGGUUGAUAUCUCGAUGGACUUUGUUUUGGGUUUACCUAGGACUAAGAGAGGUCGGGAUUCUAUUUUUGUGGUUGUAGAUAGGUUCAACAAAAUGGCACAUUUUAUACCCUGUCACAAAACUGACGAUGCCAUGAACAUUGCCGACUUAUUCUUUAAAAAUAUUGUGCGUUUACAUGGAGUUCCUAGAAGUAUAGUGUCGGAUCGGGAUGUUAAAUUUUUGAGUCACUUUUGGAGAGUUUUGUGGGGGUAAGUUAGGCACUAAGUUACUAUUUUUCACAACUUGUCACCCACAAACGGAUGGACAAACGCAGGUAGUGAAUAGGACUAUGACACAAUUAUUACGCACAGUAAUCAAUAAAAAUUUGAAGAGUUGGGAGGAGUGUCUACCAUUUGUUGAAUUUGCAUACAAUCGAGCUGCUCACUCUACUAUGUCAUAUUCUCCAUUUGAAAUUGUAUAUGGUUUUAAUCCACUAACUCCUUUAGAUUUAAUUUCCUUACCUGUGAAUGAACGUGGUAGUUUAGAUGACAAAAAAAGGCGGAAUUGGUUAAGUCACUCCAUGAAAAGGUAAAAGCGCAAAUUGAAAACAAAAGUAAGUUGGUUGCGUCGCAGGCGAACAAAGGUAGGAAGCGUGUGACAUUCGACCCAGGAGAUUGGAUUUGGAUGCACUUUAGGAAGGAGUGAUUUUCGGAGCAAAGGAAGUCCAAGUUGCAACCGAGGGGCGAUGGUCCAUUUUAAGUUAUUGAAAAGAUAAACGAUAAUGCAUACAAGUUGGACUUUCCAGGUGAGUAUAAUGUUUCGGCUACUUUUAAUGUAUCUGAUCUCUCUUUGUUUGAUGCAGGUUCAGAUUCGAGGACGAAUCCUUUUUGAAGUGGGAGGGGAUGAUAUGACCCGGGAAUCGAACCCAACGAGGAUAAGUGCGAGAUGAGACCCGUUGAUAGUUGAUGACAGACCAAUGAUGCGAUCAAGGGCAAAGUCAGCGAAACAAGUGAUAGGAUUGCUCGUUCAUGAAACCAUUGAUGGAACCAUAUUCGGGACUCAAAAUGGAGCAACUUUCAUGUUCGGGUCGAAGGCCGAAUCAAUUUGGAUCAAUUUAAUAUCGAAAGCCGAAGACGAAGGAAAAUGAUAAGUUUAUGCGACCGCAUAGGCUUAUGAGGCUUGUGGUCGCAUGGAGGCUUACCAAAACUCAAAGGGAGAAACUUACUUGAACAAUGCGACCGCAUAGAAAUGAACGUCGCGGUCGCAUAGGUCAAAAAUAUUGGCGAAUUUUCUAAUUUUGGCAAUUUUCCAUAUUUUGUUAGUUUUUUUAUUCUUUUCCAUAUUUUUGGGAUUAUUAUCGACUUUUGCACGAUUUUUACCUAGUUUUUAAGUUUAGUAUAAAUAGGAAUUUCAUUCAAUUCUAAAAACCUUUGACAUAUUUGAUAUUGAAUUAAAAGUGAGGCGUAUUGUCUUCUUUUCAUCGUUCUUCAUUGAACAACUUUGAACUUAUCAAGUGUUAAUUUGUGGCGUUCAAACAAUCGGAUUUAAUUAUUGGAUUGCUUGAUCAAAGGGUCUUUCAAGUGUCGUUCUUGUUGGAUUUUUUUGUUCGACUUUAUUUGGGGUUAAUCCUAAACUCUUGGAUUAAUUUGGCUUGUUUGGGUUCGUCAAUCUCGGUGUGAGUUUCGUAAUCAACGUUGUUACGGGAUUCGCAUAAGAAUAUUUACACGUUGCACUUUUAAAUGUUAAUUUUCAUUUCAUCAAAGUUAAAUAACUAGUCAGAAAUGUUNNNNNNNNNNNNNNNNNNNNNNNNNNNNNNNNNNNNNNNNNNNNNNNNNNNNNNNNNNNNNNNNNNNNNNNNNNNNNNNNNNNNNNNNNNNNNNNNNNNNUUUUUGUUUUUCCAUGUAUCCUGUCUUGAAUGCCUUUUGAAUGAUUUAACUAACAAAGACAAACAAUGGCUGUCCUUUCCAUUUAAAAAAAAAGAAAAAAAGAAAAAGCUAGUUGGUUAGCCAACUACACGCUUUGCUUUGGAUAACCUAAACCUAACAAUGCCACCACUCUCCCAGUUCCCCUGUGAAAGGGACAAAUAUCUUUAGUGUUAACCCCCACCAAACUCUUCUUGGGGAUGAAGUUAUGGAAUAUNAAUAAGGGUCAUUUAUAUUGAAAGCUCAACCAAACAUGGUUUUUAGAGCCGGAAGCUCGAAGGUCAAGAAGUUUCGUUCUAAAGCUUGAAUCUUUAAGUCAACGGGAUAAUUCUAGUGUUCUGCUUUGAUAAGGGCAUUUCUAAUAUUUUAUUACAUUUGGAUAACUAAUGUAGCCGUGAUCUACAUGCAAAUAGAUAAUUCGUUUAUUACAUAUCGUGGUUCUUGAUUUUAAAUUCGAACAAAUGACGUGCAACUUUUGAAAAAAAGGCACUCGACCACCGCUUGACUAUGUCUCUCGGUGUUCCGAAAUCAACACUAUAUUUCCACAACUCUCAAGUAUAUGUGAUGUGAAAUCUCAUCAUGAUUGAGAUGUAUUUAAUGCAUGCUAACAAAAUAGGUAAAUUUAUAUGAUAUGGUGAAAAAUCCAAGACGAAGGAAUAGGUCCCAUUAAAAUGUAUUUCAAAAGCGCCACAUAUUUUACAUGCAUUAAAUACGUUGAUAAUGAUAGGCUACUAAACCACACAAAAUGAGUUGCUAAAAAAAACAGAUCAACAAAAAAGAAGUAAUAUAAGGGCACGUGUAACAAAAUUUUUUGCACAAGUUUCAAAAGAAUUAAAAAUUAUUAAUCCGAAAAGAUCGCUUAGAUUUAAGAAAACGUUGCUUGGAUUUAUCCAUGGUUUUUUUGUGUUUUUUUUUGUUUAGUUUAUUUCUUAUCCCAAGGCCUUUUUCGAAUAAACCAAUUCAUUUGGGACCCUGCAAAUCCGCACCAACUAGUUAGGAAAUCACAUUGACAUCAGCUUUCUCUAAACCUCGAGGAAAAGCAUGAAAAAAAAAGGCUUGAAUGGUACGAUCCCUCCGUCGCCUCAGAAUAUCAUGUAAAGAUAUAUCUUUCACUCCAAUAGUUAUAUGACAAGUACUUUUUUUAUCGGACAACUACGUCCUGAUUUGAAUGAUCCUAUAUUAAGAGCUAAAUUGGCUAAAGGUAUGAAUCAUGUGUGGUCAAAAUAAAAAUUUAACCAAUUUUUAAUAAAAUUUAAUCUAAAAAAGCGCUACUUUUGUAGACCUUGUUUGGCUUCAAUAAAAAGUUAUAUAUUAAAAUUUAAGCGAAAACUAACAAUUAGUUUUGAUUAGAUAUUUAGCCCCUGUUUGGCCCCCAUUUUGUAGAAAUGAAAUGGGUGGAAUAAUUUUUUUUUUAAAUAAUGAGUUAUUGAAAAAGAACGAAAAUUUUUCGAUUUAGGUGUAAUAUUAUUUUAUGACAUAUUGUAUGAGAAAAAUACGAAAGAGAAAAAUUGAAUGAAAAUUAACGGGGGCCAAACGGGGACUUAAUGAACCACAAAUUUUUUACUAUACAUUUAAUCAUUUUUUUAUUAUUAUCAAAAUUUACUUGUUUUGUGGGAAUUAAAAUCAAUCUUUUUGAUAUACUUUAAUAAUUGUUGAUGAAAUGUGUAAUUGAAAGGUUGUAGGUCUAAUAAAAUAUAUAGUUAAAAUUAAUUAUUAACUUUGACUUAAAUUAAAAUUUUAAUUUUAAUUUUCAUCAAAUAUGGAUUACAAAUUUAAAAUUUUUACCUUAAUCAAAUAUGGGCGUAAUGUUUGGCCUUCAUUUUUUCAAAACUCAUUUUCAACUACACAUUUUUUAUAAAAUAAUUUCAUACUUAAAUUGAAAGGUUUUCUUAAUUUUUAACCAUACAUCUCCAACUAUUAUAAAAUGGGAGCUCAAACAAAGGCUAACACACAAAGAAAAAUUAUCGUAAACACGUGUAAAGUGAGUCAUCGAGUAUUAAUUCAAAUCAUUCUACAGUAACAUAAUAUUUGACAUGAUGUCAAAUGACAUCAUAUUGUUGGACUCUUUAAAACAUAGUCAACUUUUCCAAUCAAUCAUAUAUUGUCAACAUUCAUUCUUUUAAAGCACACGUUAACAUUUUUCUGUCAAGGUCACUUUACCUGUAUUAACCCAAGUGACUCAAGUUUUCUUCAUAAGACUGUGGGCCACAAGCAAAAUUUGGUUGGCACGCUAUUGAAAUGGGUUCCAUAUGACCGUUGGAUGGAUCAUCGAUCUAGAGUUUAAAAAAUAAUUUUAUCCAAAUUUAGCCUAUAUUUUGAUGGACAUUAUUCGUAGAAAAUAAUAUUUUAAAUAGUGAUUUAAAAAAUAUAUAUAUAUUUAAAUAUGUGGUUAAAAAUGAGUAUGAUAAUUAAAAAAAUUUGUUUUAAAUAGAAGCAAACAGGGACUAUUAUUGAUAUUUCUCAUUUACCAAUUCACAUUUAUAUUAAAACUCUAAAAUAAGUUAAUGAAAUGGAAUUAAAUUCAGAAAACACAAAAAUAAAUUGAAAAAUAUAUUUUUUUAAAUUCAUUUUCAACCAUACAUUUUCCCAUAAAAUAAUGUUACACGUAAAUCAAAAUUUUAAAUAAUAUUACACGUAAAUCAAAAAUUUUCUUAUUUUUUUAACCAUAUAUUUUCUAAAAAAUUACUAUUUUAAAAUAUAUUUUUUUCAAAAAAUUUAUUUUGAUGGAGCCCAGACAGGGGCAAAGUUUUCUAUUUUUUCAAAUUGUAGGUAGAUGAUUACAAUUUACUUAAAUCUAUGAUGACUAAAUACCUGCACUUGAACAUUGUACAUCUAAACACGACACGUAUUUAACUGUUUAUUAUCCAUUUAAAGAGUGUAGGAGUUUGGGUGUACCAUUUUUAUUUUUAUUUUUUUGAAAAAAUAGUGAUCCAAAUAAUGAAUUUUUUGAGAAUGUGUGUUUAAAAAAUAGAGAAAUUUUUUUAGUUUAUGUGUAGAAUAUUGUAUUGUAUGAACAUGUGGUUGAAAAUGAGUAUGUCAAAAAAAUGAAUUUUGAAAUAAUGAAAGACGAAACAUGGGUUUAAUUUAAGACAUCCUAUAGCAAAAAUUCGAUAAUACAAUUGAAAAUAUACUAAUUUAUUCUUUACCAUUAAAUCUGCUUCAUCAAGACAUCAACUUAGCAUUUGUUUGGCUCUCAUUUUUUAAAAUUGGGCAAUUAGUACAAAACUUCCGUACUUUUCAUUUUUAGACAUUUUUAUCUUUAUUUUCACCUUUCAUUACAAAAAAAGUCAUUUUCAUCCAAUUUCUUAAUAAUAAAUGUAAAAUGAUAAAUAUGCCCUAUUACUUAAAUAAAACAAAAAAAAUUGAAGAGAAAAGAAAAACUAAAGAACAAAUUGUAAUUAUAUUCCCACAUUUAGAAAAAUUGCAAAUAAGUCCAAAUAAAUUAUUAAAAGAGUAACUAGCAAAAAAAUCCAUAACUUUCAAUAUCAUUGUGUAAAACGUCCUUACUUUUUAUUUUUUGGUAUUUUCAACCUUAUUUUCAUUGGGAAAAUCAUCUUAAAAAUUAAAAAAUCAUUUUCUUUUUUAUUAUUUAUUUGUAAUUUAUUUGUAAUUUUUUUAAAAAAAUUAGGAAUAUAGUUGCAAUUAUUUAUUUAAUUAUUCUAUUUAUUUUUGUUUUAUUUGAAUAGAAAAGUAUAUUCGUCAUUUUGCAGUUUUUAAUUUAGAAAAUAGAUGGAAAUGAUGAAUUUCGCAAUGAAAUGUGAAAAUAAAGGAGAAAGUGCUAAAAAAAAAUUUAAAAAUGUAAGGACGUUUUGCAUAAUAAUAUUAAAAGACAUGGACGUUUUGUUCUAAUCAUCAUUUUAAUAAUUUAUUUGGAUUCAUUUGCAAUUUUUUUUAAAUGUUUAGAAGUAUAAUUGCAAUUUAUUCUUUAAUUUUUCUUUUCUUUUUUUAUUUUAUCUAAAUAGGGGGAUAUAUUUAUUAUUUUGCAUUUUUUAUUGAGAAAUUGAAUGAAAAUGACAUUUUCCGCAAUGAAAUGUGAUAAUAGGAGGAAAAAUGUUAAAAAAAUAAAAGAUAAGAACGUUUUAAACAAUAACAUUAAAAGGUAAGAAAGUUUAUUACUAACCACCCUUCUAAAAUUCAUUAUUUUCUUGAAAUCAUUUUUAAGUGUGCAUUUGAUGGAACCUACAACUUUUAUAAAUUUUUCAAUCAUCAUUUGAUUUUUUUUUAUUUAUCAAAAUUUACUAAAGAUAUGAAUUUUAACUAAACCAAACAAGAACUUAAGAGUAUUGCCGAGUACUUGAUUCUAUUUAAUUCCAUCAAUUUAGACUCGAGUUGUAGCAAUUUUUAAUUAUUCUUGGUUGCUCACUCGAGAAGGCAUUUAAGAGAAUCAAUUUAAAGUAAAAGUAAAAUUAUAUCGUUAAGCUCAUAAAUCGAGAAGUUUAGUUAAAUAUUCCAAAUUGGCGAACUUUUGUUCGCCAAUUUUAGAUGGAGGGGAAUAUUUACAUACGUUUUUUAGAAGAAUUUUUUUAAUGCCAAAAAGUCCUUAGAAUAGGGAUGAUGUGGACCUGCGUAGAUUGGGCUACGCAGGUUCGGGUCAGCCCAAACCACAAAUGCUACCCGACCCAAUUCUCUCCCUCUGCCCCCGAAUAUGCUCCCUAUUACCCUAUCUAUAUAUAGAGGAGGCGAUUGCCAAUUGUUAUAAUAGGUUCUUAGGUUUUGGCCGAAGACUCGAGUUCAUUCACAAUCAUUGAUUUCUCUUAGUCAUACAUACGUUUUUUAAAAGAAUUCUUUUAAUACCACAAAGUCUUCGCCAAUUUUCUUCCCCUUCCAUUGCAACUCAAGGCUUUUUCUUCAAGUAUUUUCUUUUUUUUUUUAUCUUUUGCUCUCAAAGGAAAAAGAAAAAUCAAAUCUUGUAACUUACGUAGUAAUUGAAAGCUUAGCAGUUUUUGAUUAGGUAAAAUCUUAUGGAUGGCAAUAAUUGGAGGGCGAACUCGGGUCAAGCGCAUGUCCCGGGUCAGGUUAUGGGCGGUGAAGCUCCGGUAGCUCCGGGUAUGGAUGCCGGUGAUUGGAGGACUCAGCUACCAGCUGAUUCCAGGCAGAGGAUUGUAAACAAGAUGUACAUAAAUGCUUUUACUUCAUAUUUUAUUUUUUAUCUUUUAGGGUAGAAAUUGUUAUUCUUUCCGAUUAUGCUGAAUACUUAUCAGUUAGAUUUUAUUUACUGUAAUCUUGUAUUUAUUGAAUUUUUUGUGAGUAAGGAAGUAACAUCUUGAUGCUUCACCUGCAUAGAAUGGAAACUUUGAAGAGGCAUCUUCCUGUCUCUGGACAUGAGGGACUGCAGGAACUCAAGAAAAUAGCCGUAAGAUUUGAGGAAAAAACUUAUGCUAGUGCUACAAGUCAGGUAUAUCUGUCACAAAACUCUUGAUUUGUGCUGCCUGCGUCUCAAACUAUAAAAUUCUCACAUGCAUUCGAUUUUUAUUUAUGUUGAGGCAUAGCACAAUGAGUUUUAUUUUUUGACUCUAUUCUCAAUUCUAAUCUUUCGUUUAAUGAUGUGUUCCUCCAGUCAGAUUACUUGAGAAAGAUAUCUUUGAAGAUGCUGACAAUGGAGACAAAAACACAGAAUCCUGUGCCCAUUUCUCUUCAGUCCAAUGUUCCAAGUAAUAGCAAAAAUCCUCAAGAUCCAGGUAAUGAAAAUUCAUGUACUUAAAUGGUGCACAUGACAAAUAGGUUUCUCGUGCUUGUAAACAACUAGUUCUUUUUAUUCUUUACUUUUACUAGAUGCAAGGAGUUUUGCCCUGUCUCUUUGUUCUGAGAUACUCGAUAAUUUCACUAGAAUUUGCUUGCGUUAUUGACCUUAGAAACUUCUUUGUAUGAUUGAACACUUCCACUAGGUUAUCCCUUAUAGAAUUAGACCAGCAAUGUAACAUAACCAAUUGAUACUUUCGUGGCACUGUUUUUGCUAAGUAAGAUACUAGUGCAGUACAUUGGUUUAUAUAGCUUGAAGUCUUUCAGGUUUGCUCUUCUUCUCAAGCUCGAAAGACUUCUUACUUUCGUCUUUAACCAUAAGGUUUGAAAGUUGUAAAACUAUAAUUUGACUGGAAUUGUGCUAAAACUGGUUCGAUGACUGGCACCUCUUCUUCCUUCUAUUUGUAUUCACAGGCUCUUGAGUUUUUCAGCACUUCCAACUCCUUGCAUGAGAUUUUACCAACUGAAACCGUAGAAGUGUGACCUUCAUAAAAUUAAAUUAUUUAAUCCCUUCUCGUUCUCGACCAAAUCUUCCAUGUGGAGUUCUAUUCGUUAUUUUAGUAGCAGAAGCCUUUUGGAUCUCUUGAUGACUCGUGAUCUUAUUUUGAUAUAGUCAAUUAAUAUGAGACCAGUGUAUUCCACAUAGCUUUAUUCUUCAUAAUAUCGAAAUCAAUCAAAACGCACCUCGAUUUCUGAAGUUCUUGUUCAUGCACUCUACAAUCAGCCAUAGGAGCCAGAAGCCCAUCCUAGAAAUUUAUGCAAUCCACUAUUCAUCUGAAUCUUUAGAAGUCCAUUGAUUUCAAGCUUUUCCAGUGCCUGAAUUGCCUGUAAGUGCCACUAUGCAUCUGCCUAUUGUUGUAUUCCUAUGAAUCUCUAAAACUAGUUUUCAAGCUCGUCCAUUGCCUGAUUUGCCUUUAAAUACAACCUUCUGUGCUGCCCAAUUUGAGGAAGAGUGUUUCCAUAGUUCCAUCUUUAUCUGCUUUCAGUUUUUCUCUACUCACGUUAUUAUUUUGUGCUUAUGCCUUUUGUCUUAAUCAUAUAUGACGUGUUUUCCUCUUGGUGGCAGAAUGAGUGAAUCUAUAUUGGGGAUAUUUCAAGACGUUGCCUUUAAAUACAACCUUCUGUGCUGCCCAAUUUGAGGAAGAGUGUUUCCAUAGUUCCAUCUUUAUCUGCUUUCAGUUCUUCUCUACUCACGUUAUUAUUUUGUGCUUAUGCCUUUUGUCUUAAUCAUAUAAAACACUUUUCCUGUUGGUGGCAGAAUGAGUGAAUCUAUAUUGGGGAUAUUUCAAGACAGUCUUGUUUCUAAUGAACUGAUUUUAUUUUUGUUAUUAUUAUUUUAUUUUUGACGUCCAGUUGCCUUUGCAUUUGUCACCAUGAGCCUUUUCCUUUAUUCUUUCACUUAUUACACUCAUUCCAUAACAUGGUCUUUAUAUUUGUGUUUUUGCAUGUAUUUUAACAGCUUCUCAAAGCAUGCAAGCCCAAAUACCAAGUCAGGGGCAGCCACUACCGAUUCCAAUGGCAAAUAAUCGAUCUCAAUCGCGACAACAGUUGUUAUCCCAAAAUAUCCAGAAUAAUAUUCCAUCAACUGGAGUGCCAAAUUCUGCUAGUUUGACAUCUGUACUUCCCACUGUUGGUGGCAUGUCUCAGGCUACCAUGCCUAAUGUUGUUGGCCAGAAUCCCAAAGUGCAGAACUUACAAAACAUAUCUAGUGUAACUCCAAAUGUAGUGGGAAAUUCCAUGGGGCAAGGAGUGCCAUCCAAUAUGUUUGCCAAUACCCAGAGAUCAAAUCAAGGAAGGCAACAAUCGGUUGUGCCCCAAGAACAACAACAACAGUCUCAGAAUUCACAACAAUAUCUUUACAGUCAGCAGUUCCAACAACACCUUAUGAAUCAAAAAUUCCAGCAGGGAAAUAUCUCACAAUCCCUUAUGCAGUCUCAAAUCCAGCAACAGCAGCAACAGAAUUUAUUGCAACCAACUCAGAUCCAAUCGUCUCAGCAAGCUGUUAUGCAACCUUCUUUGAGGCAGUCAGCCACUUCAUCUGGUCUUCUGCAAAAUCAGCAGUCAUCUAUUCAGCAAUCAACUCAAUCUAUGCUUCAGCAACAAUCACAAUCAGUCCUCAGGCAACAGCCGCAACCGUCUUCCCUCACUCAUCAGCAACAAACAUCAAUGCCACAGCACCCAAUAUUACCUACACAACAGCAACAGCAGCUUAGUGGGAAUCAGCCAAAUGCAACAAGCAUGCAACAGAACCAGCUAAUUGGGCAACAAAAUAACAUUCUUGAUGCACAGCAUCAGCAGCAACAGCAACAGCAACAGCAAAGGAUGAUGAGCCAGCAGAAUAAUCAUUCCAACCUGCAACAGCAGCAGACAAUUGGUCAACAAAACAUUUCUAACAUACAUCAACAGCAGUCAAUUGCUCAGCAGAAUAGCCUCCCAAACUUGCAUCAGCAGCAGUUAGGUCCUCAAACUAAUGUUUCUGGGUUCCAGCAGCAGCAAAUGGUUGGAAUUCAAUCUGGUAACUCUGGCUUGCAGAACAACCAGCAAUCUGUUCAUAUGUUACAGCCAUCUAAAGUUGCAGUACAGCAACAAAUGCAGCAGAAUGUGGGAAACUUGCUGCCUAACCAAGCUCAACAGUCACAGUCUCAGCCACCACAGCAGCAAAUGAUGUUACAGAUCCAAUCACAACCAGGCCAGCUGCAACAACAAUUGGGUUUGCAACAACAUACAAAUUCGUUACAAAGAGACAUGCACCAAAGGAUUCAAACAUCAGGUCCUUUGCUUCAACAACAUAGUGCUCUUGAUCAACAGAAGCAUCUGGCGCAUUCUCAAAGUGCAAUUCCAGAGGCACCAUUAUGUGAGUUUCUGAUGUUCAAAUCUAACCUAUCUAUUCUUGGUUGCUUGAAAUGAAUUUCCUUCUCUCUUGUUAUUCUGAUAUCUGAACUAUGCCAUUAAGAUGUUCAUUAUUUCUGAUAAAAUUCUUUUCCAUUUUAGCCUAUCUGUAAUCACUUGGCUAUAGUAUCAUAUAUAUUCUUGUUCAUCCUUGUUAGUGUUCAAUUUUUAUUUCAUGGUUUGGGUGCGAAUGCGUACUUAAUACACUGACAAUCUUGGCGUUACUAUACUUUGUAUAUUGGUUUGUCAAGAUGCAGUGACUCUGAUUAUACAUCUUUCUAAAUUUCACUAUGGUCUUUGUUAAGUGAAUUAAUUGAAGUUGUGGAAUGACUUGAAAUUUGGCAGAAGAUAUUGCACAUGUAUCAAGUUGAUUUGGAAUUGCACUUGAAAUGAGUACAUAAAGAUUUUAAUCCUGAAAGCAGGAAUUUUUCGUUCCAUUUAUCACCGGGCAUAGUUUAUCCACUAAUGCAUUUUUGGGUUUUAUGAAGGAUGUUUUAGCUACUUAUAAGUCAGAAUCUUACAUUACUAGUGAGGGAUGGAAUUCAAAGAGUUUUUGACUAUCUGCUAUAAACUCUACAGUUUGGGGUCCAUUUAUGUUUUGUCCCAUGACUCUUUGUCUCUCGGUGUAUCUAUCUCUGCCCCCUCAUCUCCCUCUCUCUCUCCCUAAAUGGUUUGCUGAAAAAUGCGUAAAGUUUUGAAGUAUAUAUUAUCAACACUUUAAGAAGUCUUUUUUGGAAAAAUCUAGCACAGGGAGAUAGAUCCCCCCCCCCCCAAUGUUUGUGUGUAUGCAUGCAUCCGGCUUCACCUUUGAAAUCCAAAUUCUUUCUCUUAUAUUUCAAGAUGGAACUCUCAACUCUUGUUUCGGUCACAUUGUCAGAUGGAGCUGCCUGGUCUAUGGAGUAUGGAUUAACUUAUGUCUUUGUUCCUUGCGCUUGAUCUCUGAUUUAUUUAUGUGAAAAGUAUAGCAUGGUGUACCAAAAAGAAAAGCUCAUUAGGUAUAGUCGAUUGAACACUGUAAACACCAACACGGUUGUUUGUUGCGUUAGGAGCUAAAAUUUAAGACUUUUUGGUUAUAUCAUUUUUGUUCAAUCUAAAAGUGGGGAAACUAAAUCUUCUAUCUUGUGGAAUUUUUCUUGCUAUUGUCAAAUUUCAACGAGUGAUUCUCCUGCAAAAGUUGCUCUGCUUUAUCUGAAUGUUGGAAUGAUGAAUGCAAGAAAAAAAAUAGAAGAAAAAAACCAUGAAAAUCACAGAAGUAAUGUUCUUUUUCUUUUUUCCCUGCUAUGCGGUUAAGUGGAAGGGAGGUGGAUAUGGCUUGAUCCCAAGACCUCCAACUUUACCUUGACUAUUGAACAUUUCUAAUAUUGAGGGAUUAUAUGAUCUUGAGAUUUCCAUGCUUACUAUUUUGAUUAGAUCAUGGUGUGUAGCUUAUAAUGUAAUUGUGUGUGUGGUGAAAAGGUUUUUCAAUCACUUUUUUCCCCGUAAGAAUUCAUAAAGUUUUAACUUGAUUUUCAUGCUUUAACAUUUGAGUAUUAAAUUUGAGUUUGAAGCUUGAAAACAAAUUGUUAUUCGCUUGUCUAGAACGACAUGAAGUUCCCCAUUCAGUAUAAUAUAUCUCAUUUUUAUUUCGUAUUUUUAUUAUUAUUUCCUCCCAUGACUCGAUGUGUUAGCAUUAGAUGUUGGAACACUUGUCUAGUUUAGAUAUUUGUAUUUUGAUUAAUUUAUUUAUUUUGGUGAGAUACUAGUCUCAAGAAUUCUUUAUGAAUAUCUGAAAAUUUAUGCAUUCUGUGCAUUUCCAAUCCAUUUUAAAUAAAUGGUUUUAUGUCCAUCAGAAAUAUGGCAAUUUUUUUUUAUUUUUUCAAAACUAUAUUUUCAUAUAGUGUAGAAUGUAAAUAAAAUUUGCUCCUUGAAUUCUCCACUUGUGUUUUUCUUUAAGCGGUCAUUUUCACCAUAUAUACAAUAAAAAUUAUUGUAACAUAGGUAUAUGGAAGAAAUUUGAUAUAAGGACCUGUACAGGAAUUGUGUAUGAAUAUUAAUUUAAAAUUUUUUAACGUCUUGUAAAAUUUGAAAGUAGAUUGUUGAAAAGUAGAAUACAAUAGCAAUUUGCAUGUUCAACGAAAGACUCUGCUUCUCUUUUGAGUUUUUUGGUUCUGGCCCACGAGUCUCAAUUUAAUUCCCGAACUGUUUGUGCUUCUUGUUGCUAUAGCUUCUGCAAUAUAUGUUAGUUCAUCGUGAAGAAAUUGAAACAAGGGGACAUAAUCAAUCAUAAUAAGCAUGAAAAUUAGCAUCCUGUCUAUGUUCCAACCAGACAAUUAACCCCAUUCUGUGAGCUCUGAUUGAACAGAAUGUUGCUUCUUCAAUUGUGCCAACAUUGAUGGAAAUACGUCUUUCCUAUACAAGUAAAUUGUUUUUGUCUCAUAUCAUCCAGUAGCUUAUUCAUAAUUUAAAUUCAAUUGCAGCAUCUUUAGAUUCUUCAUCACAGACAGGAAAUUCAAUUGGUGGGGAUUGGCAGGAGGAGAUUUUCCAAAAGGUACUCCAUUGAGAGAGUUGUCUUUUCCUGUCUAUAAUUUAAAUUUUAUUAUAUCAAUUUUCAGCUAGUAAUAGCCAUGUACUAACAUGUAAUCGUUAUUACCCUUUUGUUAACUUUUUAUGUUUUUCUUGGAAUCUGAAGUUAUAGUGUUUACUUGCAGAUCAGAUCCAUGAACGAUUUGUAUUUUCCUGAAUUAAAUGAAAUGUACCAGAAAAUGGCUGCUAGAUUACAACAGGUAAGAUAUCAGUUUAGAAGAAUAUUAUACUAUGGUUCAAUCAUUCUUUUGUGGCUGCCUUUUCCAUCUGCCUUUUUUUUUUUUUUUUUGUCAAUGUAUCCUGUCUUCAAUACCUUUUGAAUGAUUUAACUAACAAAGACAAACAAUGGCUGUCUUAAAAAAAUAAAAAAUAAAAUAAAUAAAUAGAGCUAGUUGGUUAGCCAACUACACGCUUUGCUUCGAAUAACCUAAACCUAACAAUGCCAUCCGAGUUCCCCUCUGAAAGGGACAAGUAUCUUUAGUGUUACCCCCCGCCAAACUCUUCUUGGGGAUGAAGUUAUGGAAUAUGUUAGUUAGUCCUAUAUAGUAAUAUUCUCACAUGAUAAUGUCCUCUGCUGAUUAAUUUUUUUUUAACAAUGCAUGUCUUACGGUGUUGCAGCAUGAUUCUGUUCCUCUACAGCCUAAGAACGAGCAACUUGAAAAACUCAAAUUUUUUAAGGCCAUGCUGGAACGCAUUAUUCAGUUUUUGCAGAUUCCAAAGAACGGAGUUCAACAGAUUCACAAGGAGAAGAUUGUUGGAGUUGAGAAGCAGAUUAACAAUAUUCUUAACUUGAAUAAGCCCAGGAAGUCUGUUUCUUCUGUGCAGCAGGGGCACCUUUCCCAGCCUCACUUGCAUGCUAUUCAACAAUCUCAGCAGCCACAAUCUCAAAUGCAUCCCCAUGAUAAUCAAAUGAAUUUGCAGACGCAACCUGUGAAUGUACAGGGUUCUAUGGCUGCUACGCAACAGAAUAACACAACCAACUUGCAGAAUAAUUCCUUAUCUUCCGUUUCUGGUGUUUCAAAUUCUCGCCAAAACAUAAUGGAUGGACUACAAUCUGGUUCAAAUAUGGAUCCAGGUCAGGGCAAACCAAACUCGCUUCAACAAGUAGCUAUGGGCUCUCUACAACAAAACCCUGUCAGUGGUCCGCAACAGGUGAACAUGAACUCGAUAUCAUCUCACAGUGGACUGACAUCAAUGCAGUCAAACCUUAAUCCUCUACAACCAAAUUCAAAUAUGCUUCCAACCCAGCAUGUAAAACAGGAGCAACAAAUGUUUCCAGCAACACAUCAGCAGAUGAAACAACAAAUUCAGCAUCGGCAGCAAUAUAAUAUGCAAAGACAGCAGUUCAUGCAACAGCAACAGCAGCAGCAGCAGCAAUCUGCCCAGUUGGCAGCAAAUCAAAUGUUACAGCUUCACCAGAUGAAUGAGACAAAUGAAAUGAAGAUGAGGCAGCAGAUGGGUCUCAAGUCAGGAGUUCUUCAGCAACAUCAUUCCUCUGGCCAGCGUUCAUCAUAUCACCAACCACUGAAGCCUGGAGCUCCGUUCUCUAUGUCCUCACCACAAGCCCUUCAGGCAGCAUCCCCUCAGGUUGGCCACCAUCUUUCCCCCCAAAUUGACCAGCAGAAUCUGCUGACAUCUCAUCCAAAGGCUGGAACCCCCUUGCAGUCUGCAAACUCCCCAAUCGUUGUUCCAUCUCCAUCAACUUCCAUGGCACAAUCAACCAUCCCAGGCGAGUCUGAUAAAAUUAACUCUGGUGUUGCAUCCCUGUCUAAUGCUGGAAAUAUUGGUCAUCAUCAAAUAGCUGGAGCAUCCAUCCCAGGGCAAUCCCUUGCUAUUGGCACUCCUGGGAUAUCCGCCUCACCUUUGCUUGCAGAAUUUACCAGUCCUGAUGGUUCUCAUGGAGCUGUGUCAACUAUUGUUCCUGGAAACUCAAAUGUUGUCGAACAACCACUUGAACGCUUAAUUAAAGUGGUUUGUAUGAAACUUUCAUGAUUAAUUACAUGGCAUACCAAUUAUUUAUAAAGCCUAUCUCCUUAAUAUAUAUUUGACUUAUAUCUUUUUUUCCCUCCUUUUAUCAGGUGAAGUCUAUGUCACCUAAAGCAUUGAGUUCCUCAAUUAGUGACAUCAGCUCCGUAGUUAAUAUGAUUGAUAGAAUCGCUGGAUCUGCUCCAGGAAAUGGAUCAAGAGCUGCGGUUGGUGAAGAUUUGGCUGCCAUGACCAAGUGUCGUUUGCAGGCCAGAAAUUUUUUCUCUCAAGAUGGAUCUAGUGGUACAAAGAGAAUGAGACGUUAUACAAGUGCAGUGCCAUCAAAUGUUGUUUCAUCUACUGGAAGUGUCGAUAGUUUCAAUCAGUUAAAUGGUACUGAAUCUGAUGGAGAGUCCAAUGGUGCAUCUAAUAUUAAAAGGCCUAGGAUUGAGGUACUUUCUACUAUUACUUUCUUUUUCUCAUUGAACAGAUCAAUAACCAAGUUCUAUAUUAUGGGGAAAAAAUAUGAAGAUAUAGAAAAUUCUAUUGCUCUUUUCUGUAUUAAUCUCGCACUUUAUCGUUGAUAAGAAAUUAUGCCAAGGGCAAUGCAAUCCAUGCAUGUUGGUGUAUUCUUGGGAAAUGGAGGUAACAGAAGGCCAACUAUGUGGUGCCUAACACCUGAGUUGAAAAAGAUGGCAAACACCAAGUUCCUCAAAAUAUCGAAUACUAUGAUAUAUGGUAAUCUGACUUUUGGGGAAGUAAGAAAUAAACUGUGUAAAGAUUCAAUUUAUGGAUUUAGGCACUUGAACGUGUUUAGGACAGUAUUGCCAACACCAUUGAAAUGUCGUCAAUUGACAUAUGGUCAGUACAGUGAAUGCAGGAGCAGCUCAUACAUUAAUCAAACACUUAAGUUAAUCUUAAGUUAAUUAUACAGUAUAUAAUUCUAGUAUGUUGGUUUACAUACUACAAGUAAAUUUCUGAUAAAUUUGAAUCUCUCUCGCUUAUAUAUGUUAAAAUUUUAGUUUUUCCAAUUUUGAUACGAAUUAAUUGUGAAAAUAUUUUAGCCAUGAGUUUUUACUACCAAAAUUGCCUAGAUGUAAAGCUUUUCACUACUCAUGUUCUUUUUGUGCUUCCAACUUGAAAAUCAUUAUAUACAUUCAAAGCUUGAUAUGUUUUAGAGGAAAUACAAAGGGGAAAAAAAUGCUUCCAUGCGACUGAAGGUAGAUAGCAAGGUAAGUUUGGGACAUGAAAGUGCUUUAGCUUAAUAUUCCCAAGGAAAAUGAUCAACCCCUACUGCUAAAGACAAUACUUUUCCAUAUUGUCACUUUUACUAACCAGAGCUUGGAAUAUAUAAAUUAGGCUCAAUAGCAAAAAACCUCCCUACCUAUUAGACGUUGUGCAGAAAAACCACUAUCCAUUAAAAAUAGCAAAAAAGGUCUCUAAAACCUUUAGGGAGAAUUACAACCUUUUAGGUAUGGAAAAUCCCUUACCGUCCAAUUUCGUUAGUUCAACCGUUAAAAAUAGUGAAAAUUUGCCAAAAUUAAAAAGGAAUGAUCGCAGUUGCAGUCUCAAACUUUUUAUUUUCUCUGCAAGUUAUACCCAAAUUUUUUAUACAUGCCACCCUACAAUCCCAAACAUUUAAAACAUUAUUUUUCCGUCACCCGAUCCCAUCCCAUCUCAUUCCAUUCCAUCUCAUUCCACCCCACUUCAUCUUCCUCUCCACCUUCAACCAUACCCAUAUAAUUCCACUACUUCACUCUGUUAACUAACAUAGGAGAAAUGUUGGUGCACCUUCUACUCAAAAACAGAAUGAAAUGUGUUCCACUUCGGACCAAACCAAACAAUCAUCCGACACAAUACCUUGUCACAAAUCCUCGCCAAUAACAUGAUUACCUCCCGGCAAUCCACCUUUAAAUCACCACUGCAAUCACCCCCACCAUCAAUGUUAAAAAUAAUCUUCGAUAAAAAGAGAGAAUCACAGCAAAAUCCAGAUCUUAUUAUUCCAUGUUCAAUAAAUAAUCUUCAGAAUUCUUUCUUUUUCUUCCCUUCUUUUUUGGUUUUCGAUUUGGUUUCUACUUUGCAACUUGGACAAUAUUGUGUUGGUGGAUGGUGGCUAAAGAUGAGAUAAAAUAGAAUUUCAGAUCUACUUGCAAUUGGUUCUCACAACUCACAUAGCCCCCGUUUAGACCCCUUUAAAACUCUUCAAUUUAAUUUAAUUUUUUCUCUCUCCUACUUUCAACUACACAAUCUUUAAUAAAAUAAUAUUACACUCAAAUCGAAAAUUUUUCAACCACACAAUUUCCAAAAAAAUACUAUUCCUCCCUAUUAUAAAUUCAAAUAAUGGGGGCCAAACAGGGAGAUAGAUUCUACAGCCAAGCUGUGCUGGCAAAAAUGGAGAGAGUCUUGAGUGUGAAGCUGAGAGAUAAGUGGUACAUAAAAAUGACGUAUAAAAUUGAGAGGGUGUUGAACACCCAUUUUAAUGGAAAAACGAAUUUUAGAAUAGUAGAUUGAUGGAGAAUGUGUGAAUCAAAAAUAAGGAAUUUUUUAUUUUUAUUUUUGUGUAAUAUUAUUUUAAUGAAGAAUGUGUGGUUAAAAAGAAGAGAGAGAAAAAUGUAUUUUGAUAAAAAGGGGAAUCAAACGGGGCGUGAAUGUUGAAAUUCCUGGUCUUUGUGUUGAUUCAGAAUAAGAGAGGGAUAAUGCAUAGGAAAAUGUGAUGAAUGAUCUGGAAGUAGAAAUAUAUGGGUAUGGUUGAAGGUGGAGAUGAAGUGAGGUGGGGGAGGAAAAUAAAGUUUUAAAGGUUUGGGAUUGUGGGUGGCACAUAUAAAAUUUUUUUGGGUAUAAUUUGCAAAAAAGUAAAAAGUUUGAGCAUGCAGCUGCAAUUAUUCCUUUUUAAUUUUGGCAAUUUUUACUAUUUUUAACGGUUUAACUAAUGGAAUUGGGCGGUAGGAGGGUUUUCCACACUUAAAAGGUUGUAUUUCUGCUAUUUUCAAUAGGUAGGAGGGUUUUCUGCACAACAUCUAAUAGGUAGGGGGAUUUUCUGAUUAAGCCUAUAAAUUAAAUGUGUGAAAAUUGAUAUUUUGUUAUGUUGAUCCUGAAUCAACUAUCUUAGGAAUGUUUUCCUCAGAAUUAAACCUUGGUGCUCUGAAUACUUUGCUGUUGGGUUAAAGAGAGAGAUGGUGAAGGAUUUUGUUUAAAUCAGAUUGAUUCUCUAACCACUUGUGAAAGGUUGGGAUUCUGGGCACGCCUGAGUUGGCUGAAAAGCACGACUAUUCUAUGAGAAGACUCGAAUUUUUCAAAGUAAAAGGUUUCCCAUGAAGCUUCUAGCAUCUCUCUGGUAUAUAUUGCAUUAUUGCUAUGGUCAGUGUGACUUUGUUGCUCAUUCUUCUCCCUUGUAUAUUUUCUUCAUAAGGUACCUGAAGGUGCAACACAGAUCAAAGCGGAAUUAAUUUGAGAUUACUUUUGGGUUAAGAAGAGAAGAAACUAGAGCAUAGGAUCAGAGAAACGCUCUGUACCAUGAAAACUGAUUUGGAGGAAUAAUAUAUUAUUGAUAUGGAUGAAGGAUUACAUCUGUGCACAGAGAGCAUGUUGAUUUACAGGACGAAUAGAAGAAACUAGAGCAUAGGAUCAGAGAAACGCUCUAUAGGAUUACAUCUGUGUACAGAGAGCAUGUUAAUUUACAGGACGAAGACCUGGACUGUACAAUACUUGACCUAAUCAAAUUUGGAAACGGAUUUAAUUCAGAGAUAACUAUGCCCAAUCUUGUGUCCUUAGCCCUCGUUUGAAGAACGUGUGGUUGAAAAGGAAUAAAAUUUUUGGGUUUAUAUGUAAUAUUAUUUUAUUUUGAGAAUGCGUGAUUGAUAAAAAGAUAGAAAAAUGGAUUAUAAUUUUAAUGGGGGCCAAACAGGGGCUUAGUAUAUUGUAACGCCCUUAUCAAAUUAUAGCAGAUCACUUUGAGAAUCUGACUUUUUCCAUCAUCACACUUGGGCAUGAUUGACAACCUUGAGCACGUUUAUGCAACAUAGCAGUUGCUGCUAAUAUCUAACAGCACAAGUAAAUUUUUUUUUACCCUCAAGCUUGUCAGCAAAAUGACGAAGAUUCUUGAAAUAUUGGAGAAACAGAAAUACCAAUAGACGAUAUGCAUAUUAAUCCUAGUAAUUUUAAACAUCUUUAAUACUAAAUACAAAUGAAAUGGGGAAAUCAAAGCUUUUGAUUUACAUUGAGGCUUCGAGAUCACUUGAUAUAAUUAUCUCUAGUUGUUUUCCUUUUCUAGGGUUAAAAAAAGAGAACUUCGUGGAUUGGAAUGAAAUACUACUAUAUCAGUGGUCUUGAUAGUUUCAUCUAUUCUUUUAUUUUUUAGUCAUUAUUAACAUCUCGUGGAUUUUGAUGAAUUGUUAUUUUGGAAAAUAGGAGAUCUGCUCUGCUUUUUUGUUUGGAGAUAGUUCAUUAUUCGUAUGUUAUUACCCAAACAUUGUAUCCAAAAAUGCAGGUGGCCCAUGUUGGACCUUAUUAAAAGUUAAGACAAGUAAUUUUUAUUUACUAUCAGAUCCUUGAGCUAUUCACUUCAAUGGUUAUUAUUAUAUAUGAUGCCAUAUCAUUGGUUGUAUAGGGUAUUCCUUCAUUGAUUUCAUGUACUGGCCUGCUGAUUUCAAUAAGGGAAUAAUUAUUCUAGUGCACUAUACGCAUUUUGAUUCAUUCUUUCCUAGUGUAAUUGACCACUGUUUGCAGGCUAACUACGCACUUGAAGAAGAAUUACGGGAGAUAAAUGAACGAUUAAUAGACACAGUGGUAUAUAUUAGUGAUGAAGACGUGGAUCCAACUGCAGUAGCUGCUACUGCCAAAGGUGGUGAUGGAACCAUUGUGAAGUGCUCUUUCAGCGCCGUGGCUCUUAGUCCAAAUUUAAAAUCACAAUAUGCUUCGGCACAAAUGGUGAGAUUUUGAACGCCAUCAUGUUAAUUCCACUUGUAACAUCUCUCUUCUGUACAAUGGUUUUGACUUUACUUUUUACUGGAAUGCAGUCCCCAAUUCAACCUUUAAGAGUACUUGUUCCCAACAAUUAUCCAAAUUGCUCGCCAAUACUUUUGGACAAGUUUCCAGUUGAAGUCAGGUGAGAAACACAGAAUUUCGCCCUUGCAUUCUGGUAAAUUUUAUAUUACUCUAAUUUUGUUAUUGUAGUUUGACCUUUUGAUUCCCACUUCUAGGGCUUCUCAGUGUACACAGAUAACACAAGGCGCUCUGCAAAAAGAGAGAAAAAUGCACAUAACCCAUAAAAACUUACACAGUAAAGUUCCAAAUAGAGAGAGAGAGACACAAAGAUAUUGGGAAUGAUAUCAGGGCCACAAUUUGGCAAGGGAUAACACAAUUCGAAAACUCUCAACUUGCUGACCCAUGAUACCUUAUUUUGUCCUCUGUCUAGUGAUAUGAAUAGUUACUAGAACAGUUAACCAAACCUUAAGACCCUGAUUGCCACACACAUUUCUCCAACAUCAAGCUGCAUUUCAGAUUGUAUGCUGGAAGAGUGGAUGGUGCAAAAUUGAAACCCUAGGGUUCGAAGAUACUAGGCUAUGUUGUAACUAGUCAUGUAUUUUUCUCCUCAGCAUCUCUGAACAUGCCGUACGAUUAUUGAAUCAUACUAGCGCCGUUAAUAGACUAGUAGAAUAACUCGUGAGGGUCAAUGUGCUGCUAACAGUCUGGUUGAAUUUCUUUGAACACGUGGUAGGAAUAGUGGACCGCUGAUAUUUACCUGCUGCCUUUUGAUCUAUCUUGAACGUGCUAUUCGUCUGUUGCCAGGGACUCACCUCACCUAUUUUGCAUUUAUGGUAGUUUUAUUCUUAUCAAUGUUGUGGGAAUAAUUGAAGAAAGGCAUUUGAGAUGAGAAGGUACCACAAAGCUUGACACAAAUUCGAAUUAGCAGCAUGUAAAGAGAGUAUUUAAUGCAUUUCCAUAAACAUUUCAAAUUGAAUUAUGUUAUCAAACAAGGAUCAAGGAAUUUGUUUCCCUUAAAUGUAUCUGUAUCCUCUCUAUUUCCUUCCACUUAUUUUGAAAUGCCUGAAUGCUUUCACAUCAGAGAGCAAAAUUUAAC